GACAGAGGUGCCGAGCGUUAGGCGGAAUCACUGGGCUUAAAGCGUGUGUAGGCGGGCGGGCAAGUACCUUGUGAAAUCCCACGGCUCAACCGUGGAACUGCUGGGUAUACUGCCUGUCUUGAGCCAGCCAGGGGCAGUCGGAACAGACGGUGGAGCGGUGAAAUGCGUAGAUAUCGUCUGGAACGCCAAAGGUGAAAACAGACUGCUGGGGCUGUGCUGACGCUGAGAACACGAAAGCCAGGGGAGCGAACGGG
rnacentral:rRNA from 1 species